rnacentral:rRNA from 1 species
GGCGAACGCUGGCGGCGUGCUUAACACAUGCAAGUCGAGCGGUAAGGCCCUUUCGGAGGUACACGAGCGGCGAACGGGUGAGUAACACGUGGGUGACCUGCCCUCAGCUCUGGGAUAAGCCUGGGAAACUGGGUCUAAUACUGGAUAUGACUCCACGGUGCAUGUCGUGGGGUGGAAAGCCUUGUGCGGCUGAGGAUGGGCCCGCGGCCUAUCAGCUUGUUGGUGGGGUGAUGGCCUACCAAGGCGACGACGGGUAGCCGGCCUGAGAGGGCGACCGGCCACACUGGGACUGAGACACGGCCCAGACUCCUACGGGAGGCAGCAGUGGGGAAUCUUGCGCAAUGGGCGAAAGCCUGACGCAGCGACGCCGCGUGAGGGAUGACGGCCU